AAUGGCUCAUUAAAUCAGUUAUGGUUCCUUAGAUGGUGGACAGUUACUUGGAUAACUGUGGUAAUUCUAGAGCUAAUACAUGAAACUCGGUCCCGACCGGAAGCGGAAGGGACGCUUUUAUUAGAUCAAAACCAAUCGGUCCUCGUGGCCGUUUGCCUUGGUGACUCUGAAUAAAUUGUGGCAGAUCGCACGGUCUCUGUACCGGCGACGCAUCUUUCAAAUGUCUGCCUUAUCAACUGUCGAUGGUAGGUUCUGCGCCUACCAUGGUUGUAACGGGUAACGGGGAAUCAGGGUUCGAUUCCGGAGAGGGAGCCUGAGAAACGGCUACCACAUCCAAGGAAGGCAGCAGGCGCGCAAAUUACCCACUCCCGGCACGGGGAGGUAGUGACGAAAAAUAACGAUACGGGACUCAUCCGAGGCCCCGUAAUCGGAAUGAGCACACUUUAAAUCCUUUAACGAGUAUCCAUUGGAGGGCAAGUCUGGUGCCAGCAGCCGCGGUAAUUCCAGCUCCAAUAGCGUAUAUUAAAGUUGUUGCGGUUAAAAAGCUCGUAGUCGGACUUGUGUCCCACGCUGCCGGUUCACCGCCCGUCGGUGUCUAACUGGCAUGCACGUGCGGACGUCCUGCCGGUGGCCGGAGGGCCUACUCAUACCCGUCGCGGUGCUCUUAACCGAGUGUCUCGAUGGGCCGGCACGUUUACUUUGAACAAAUUAGAGUGCUUAAAGCAGGCAGCAUCCGCCUGAAUACCGAGUGCAUGGAAUAAUGGAAUAGGACCUCGGUUCUAUUUUGUUGGUUUUCGGAAUCCCCGAGGUAAUGAUCAAUAGGGACAGACGGGGGCAUUCGUAUUGCGACGUUAGAGGUGAAAUUCUUGGAUCGUCGCAAGACGGACCGAAGCGAAAGCAUUUGCCAAGCAUGUUUUCUCUGAUCAAGAACGAAAGUUAGAGGUUCGAAGGCGAUCAGAUACCGCCCUAGUUCUAACCAUAAACGAUGCCAGCCAGCAAUCCGCCGAAGUUCCUCCGAUGACUCGGCGGGCGGCUUCCGGGAAACCAAAGCUUUUGGGUUCCGGGGGAAGUAUGGUUGCAAAGCUGAAACUUAAAGGAAUUGACGGAAGGGCACCACCAGGAGUGGAGCCUGCGGCUUAAUUUGACUCAACACGGGAAACCUCACCAGGCCCGGACACCGGGAGGAUUGACAGAUUGAGAGCUCUUUCUUGAUUCGGUGGGUGGUGGUGCAUGGCCGUUCUUAGUUGGUGAGGCGAUUUGUC
rnacentral:rRNA from 1 species